GAGAUGUUAGUAAAAUAAUUACAUAGCCUUGUCAAGACUAAGUUGCAAGCGAAAACCUUGCACAUCUCC
rnacentral:tRNA from 1 species